rnacentral:piRNA from 1 species
UAGAUUCUUUUCUUCAUGAUGAUUUUUUAA